rnacentral:rRNA from 1 species
AUUGAACGCUGGCGGCAGGCCUAACACAUGCAAGUCGAGCGGAAGAAGGGAGCUUGCUCCUGGAUUCAGCGGCGGACGGGGGAGUAAUGCCUAGGAAUCUGCCUGGUAGUGGGGGAUAACGUCCGGAAACGGGCGCUAAUACCGCAUACGUCCUGAGGGAGAAAGUGGGGGAGCUUCGGACCUCACGCUAUCAGAUGAGCCUAGGUCGGAUUAGCUAGUUGGUGGGGUAAAGGCCUACCAAGGCGACGAUCCGUAACUGGUCUGAGAGGAUGAUCAGUCACACUGGAACUGAGACACGGUCCAGACUCCUACGGGAGGCAGCAGUGGGGAAUGUUGGACAAUGGUCGGAAGCCUGAUCCAGCCAUGCCGCGUGUGUGAAGAAGGUCUUCGGAUUGUAAAGAACUUUAAGUUGGGAGGAAGGGCAGUAAGUUAAUACCUUGCUGUUUUGACGUUACCAACAGAAUAAGCACCGGCUAACUUCGUG